rnacentral:rRNA from 1 species
UGCUUAACACAUGCAAGUCGAACGGCAGCAUGGUCUAGCUUGCUAGACUGAUGGCGAGUGGCGAACGGGUGAGUAACGCGUAGGAAUAUACCUUAGAGAGGGGGAUAACCUGGGGAAACUCAGGCUAAUACCGCAUACGUUCUAUGGAAUAAAGCUGGGGACCYUUAGGCCUGGCGCUUUAAGAAUAGCCUGCGUCCGAUUAGCUAGUUGGUGGGGUAAGGGCCUACCAAGGCGACGAUCGGUAGCUGGUCUGAGAGGAUGAUCAGCCACACUGGGACUGAGACACGGCCCAGACUCCUACGGGAGGCAGCAGUGGGGAAUAUUGGACAAUGGGGGCAACCCUGAUCCAGCAAUGCCGCGUGUGUGAAGAAGGCCUGAGGGUUGUAAAGCACUUUCAGUGGGGAGGAGGAUUGAUAGGUUAAGAGCUAAUUGAUUGGACGUUACCCACAGAAGAAGCACCGGCUAACUCCGUGCCAGCAGCCGCGGUAAUACGGAGGGUGCGAGCGUUAAUCGGAAUUACUGGG